AUCGCUUCUCGGCCUUUUGGCUAUGAUCAAGUGUAG
rnacentral:snRNA from 1 species